AGCUUUGCGCAGUGGCAGUAUCGUAGCCAAUGAGGUUAAUCCAAGGCGAGAUUAUUGCUAAUUGCUAAUAUUGCUAUUGCUAAUUGGAAACUUUUAACUUUUAACUCCUGCUUCCAAAACGCACAGUGAUUUGAAAAAG